GGAAACCGGAGCUAAUACCGGAUAAUAUUUCGAACCGCAUGGUUCGAUAGUGAAAGAUGGUUUUGCUAUCACUUAUAGAUGGACCCGCGCCGUAUUAGCUAGUUGGUAAGGUAACGGCUUACCAAGGCGACGAUUCGUAGCCGACCUGAGAGGGUGAUCGGCCACACUGGAACUGAGACACGGUCCAGACUCCUACGGGAGGCAGCAGUAGGGAAUCUUCCGCAAUGGGCGAAAGCCUGACGGAACCACGCCGCGUGAGUGAUGAAGG
rnacentral:rRNA from 1 species